rnacentral:lncRNA from 12 species
CUUCUUUAUGACAUCUUCUUUUAUUACCUCUUAGAAUAAUCCUUUGGAAGUCUGAACCAAGGAGGCUUGAGAGAAAACCAUGGUAGAUUUAAGCAGGGAGCGAUUAGGCACCUCAGUGACAAAUACAUUUGUCUCUAUUGAGAACAUCCUGACCUAGAGCUAUAUUGCAUUUGGUUUUGUCCCAUCUCAAUAUCAAAGCCUGGGAGAACAGCAAGAUGAGCACUGGGAAGGAUUCCCAUCGUGCA